rnacentral:rRNA from 1 species
GAUGAACGCUGGCGGCGUGCCUAAUACAUGCAAGUCGAGCGAACAGACGAGGAGCUUGCUCCUCUGACGUUAGCGGCGGACGGGUGAGUAACACGUGGAUAACCUACCUAUAAGACUGGGAUAACUUCGGGAAACCGGAGCUAAUACCGGAUAAUAUAUUGAACCGCAUGGUUCAAUAGUGAAAGACGGUUUUGCUGUCACUUAUAGAUGGAUCCGCGCCGCAUUAGCUAGUUGGUAAGGUAACGGCUUACCAAGGCAACGAUGCGUAGCCGACCUGAGAGGGUGAUCGGCCACACUGGAACUGAGACACGGUCCAGACUCCUACGGGAGGCAGCAGUAGGGAACCUUCCGCAAUGGGCGAAAGCCUUACGGAGCAACACCGCGUGAGUGAUGAAGGUCUUCGGAUCGUAAAACUCUGUUAUUAGGGAAGAACAAAUGUGUAAGUAACUAUGCACGUCUUGACGGUACCUAAUCAGAAAGCCACGGCUAACUACGUG